AAUUGAUUAGUCUAAAAUAAAAGACAUUUGUUUUGAAACCAAAUAAUGAUUAAUAAUAUUAUCAUCAAUUU
rnacentral:tRNA from 1 species